GGUGUAGCCAAGCGGUAAGGCACUAGACUUUGACUCUAGCAUUUCGGCGGUUCGAAUCCUCCCAC
rnacentral:tRNA from 2 species